UUUAAAUAUUACCGUCGUAUAAAAUACAUAUUUGAGUCUUUAUUUAAGGAUAAGAUCGUCUCGGUGCGCGAGAAGCAUUUUGCCGCGUUUCGUGCUGACUUAGCUUAGCUCGCUAGUUAGCUUAGCUUGUUAGCUGCUAACAAAGACGCAGAAGUUGUCAACACAUCGCUAAGUAGAGAUUAAGUGUGAGUGUCAAAGUGUUGGCAUUGUGUGAAAAUGAGUAAAUUACACAUGUUGAGAGAGUUGGUGGACCAGCGACUAACUGCUGCCGCCGAAGAAAUAUUUGUAGUGUUGGAAAGAACGAUAGCAGAAUACGAGGCGGAACUUUCUAGAACAAAGGAGGAGAAUAAUCAACUACUGGACGCUGUCUUCAAGAAACAUCAAGUUGUGCUGCACAGAACAGACGUCGCUGAUGAACAUCUUGUCCACCUGCGGGAGGAAGAACCACCACCCUUGUGCAUAAAAGAGGAAGAAGAGGUACCACAGCCCCCGAACAUUAAAGAGGAAGUGGAGGAACACGGCAUCAGUCAGGAGGGAGAGCAUAUUGAAGGACGGGCGGAGUCCCCAGCGACUGGUGUCCCUGUGAAGGGUGAAGAUGACGAGGUCAAAGGUGAAAGUGAGGAGAAGAGGGAGGCGGAGCCUCCAACUCAACACAUGACAACAGAAGCUGAUGGAGACCACUGUGGAGGAUCACAAGCAGACAAGAUCUCAGCUCCACCAUCAGAUAGUGAGGACACCACGCCACACUCUUCUAAAACUGAUGGUGAGGACACGUCUUACUCUCCUGACACUGAUGAUGAAGACUCUACAGACGACAAGACAUGGGACCCGGACAGCCCUCCCUGGAAAUGUCCUCACUGUGACAAAAGUUUUGGCCUCAAAACGUCCCUAAACAGACACAUGAAAAAUCACACCCAAGAGAAACCGUUCCCGUGUUUGGCGUGCAGUCAAGUAUUCAGCCUAAAAGCAGACCUGAUAAAACAUGCGAAAAUUCACACUCAAGAGAAACCUUCUUCUUGUUCAUUGUGCGGCGUACUUUUCACACGGAGUGAAAGCUUGAAAAGACACAUGAGAAGGCAUCCUGGAGUGAAACAAUUUUUCUGUUCUGUGUGUGGGGCGGGCUUUUCUAAAAAAGACAGUUUGAACAAGCACAUGACAACACACACUGGGGAAAAACCUUUUUCCUGCGCAACCUGCGGCAUGUGUUUUACAAGGAAGGACAGUUUGAAAGAUCACACAAGGAAACACACCGGGGAAAAACCUUUUGCCUGCUCAACCUGUGGCUUAUACUUUUCCCGGAGGAUCCAAAUGAUAGAGCACACCAGACUGCACACCGGUGAAAAACCUUUUUCCUGCGCAACCUGCGGCAUGCGUUUUACAAGGAAGGAUAGUUUGAAAGAUCACACAAGGAAACACACUGGGGAAAAACCUUUUUCCUGCUCUACCUGCGGCUUAUGUUUUACCAGAAGGCACCACUUGAAAUUGCACACCAGAACGCACACCGGAGAAAAGCCUUUUUCCUGUUCUGUGUGUGAUACCAAUUUCAGUCGAAGGGAUUGUUUGGAAAACCACAUGAGAACGCACACCGGAGAAAAAUCGUUCUCCUGUACAACGUGUGGUUUGAGUUUUACAAAGAAGAGUAGUUUGAAAUAUCACACGAGAAUACACACUGGGGGGAAAGUGCUGAGUUGCAGUGUGUGCGACGAAACAUUCUAUCACCAGAACCAACUCCACAAUCACCAGUGUGCUGGCAGUAAAAUAGAAAAGCGCACCGCGGACCUCCACCAGGAUCCGGAUGCUGAUCAGGACCAACACCGAAAUGUGAUCACUUGUUCCUUGACCAAUUUCUGACAUGUCCUGGCACUGAUAUUCAAGCAGACUUGAGUUUUAUUUUGUUAUAACUCAAACUGCCUACCUUACAGUCAAAGUUCCUUUUAGUUACUUUUCACUUUAAUAGCAAACUUGAAAAUAUGUAAAAUAGUCCUGCACCUGGCAGCUGCGGUCAAUCCUCCGGCAAUCGGCACACCUGAAGUUGAUCAGAGGUUCUACCUUCAAAAGCCUGCACAACCUGCUUUUCCGGGUCAGAACGUAGUCUUCUGUUCAAGUACACUACCCCUUCGUUCCCCAAUUUCCAGCUGUGCGCCUCGUCUCAGCCCGCCUUUCCUCUGCUUCCCUCACUGCCUCUUGGAUCUCGACCUUCCGCUUGGACACGGACCUUCUUCGGCUCGCCAUACUUCCUGUCUGCUCACGGGCCUCCGAGCUAUGCCUUGUCCCUCCUGAUCUUCCGCCUCUUGUUCAACACUACUGGUGGCCCUUGGCAAAGGCCUAGUACCUGACUGCCCCCUAGCCAGUGAUACAGUGAAGACCUCAAUGGUGGAGCAGGCGAAAGACGGUAGAUGUAUGAACCACCAUACAACCCUGUGGAGCGUCACAACGGCUGGGGUGGCGGAUGAAAUCUGCAGCAGAAAAGGGUCCCCAGUCGCCUUAGACUCCAUGCCACUGGACCCUGACCUGGAUUUGUCAGGGAUCGUGUCGUGACCGUGUGCACACCAGUCUCCCCACGUCAAACAAAGUCCCGCUCAGGCAUCCUCCAUAAAGGGAUAUCCGCCUACCAGGACGACCGUCAUACUCCCUUCAAGUGACCACCGAUGAUGGUAUCUAAUACAUCAUAAAGUUAAAUACAAUGCCCCCUUGUGGUCUGUGCUGUCUACUCCCCCCUUCACCCACACCCCUGUGCACAAUCCUUUUUUAUGAUAGACAUUUUUGUUUGUACUAGCAAUUUUAAACCAGUGCUGUAUCCUUUCCAUGUGACCUUGUAGAAUAAGAUCUGUUUCUUCAUAAAUAAUGCUCUGAAUCUUUGAGACGGUCAACAAAAAAUCAAGUCUAUUUUUUAAUUGGUCAAUUGGUUCACUUGUCUCUGAUUGGCAAUCUGGGCACCCCAGUUCCAAGUUGCCAGUUAGGCUCCUUUUUAUGCCAGCCCUGUCCUUCUGUCAGUGCUUUAUCAUUGCUUGCCCUUGCUUCGUGAUCGUUGUUUCGCUUGCGCCUGUAUUGGCAGGUUUCCCGUGCACUCCCCAGCUGCACCGUUUCUACCUUGCUUUUCACGUAGAGUAAAGUGAACCACUGAACAUAACAUGAAUGUACAGUAUUUACCUUGGAGACUGGCUUUCUAUGGAUUCUCCUUCCAGCUGCUUCUUUGUCAUACAUACAGUUGUGAUCAAAAUUAUUCAACCCCCACACAAUUUUGGUGUUUUAGCAAGUUGGACAUUUAUUCCAUAUUUUGUUUAUAGUCAUAUCAAAUAAAGAUGUGUCAAAUAGACAAAUGCAACUUAAA